GAUGAACGCUGGCGGCGUGCCUAAUACAUGCAAGUCGAGCGAACAGACGAUGAGCUUGCUCCUCUGACGUUAGCGGCGGACGGGUGAGUAACACGUGGAUAACCUACCUAUAAUACUGGGAUAACUUCGGGAAACCGGAGCUAAUACCGGAUAAUAUAUUGAACCGCAUGGUUCAAUAGUGAAAGACGGUUUUGCUGUCACUUAUAGAUGGAUCCGCGCCGCAUUAGCUAGUUGGUAAGGUAACGGCUUACCAAGGCAACGAUGCGUAGCCGACCUGAGAGGGUGAUCAGCCACACUGGAACUGAGACACGGUCCAGACUCCUACGGGAGGCAGCAGUAGGGAAUCUUCCACAAUGGGCGAAAGCCUGACGGAGCCACGCCGCGUGAGUGAUGAAGGUCUUCGGAUCGUAAAACUCUGUUAUUAGGGAAGAACAAAUGUGUAAGUAACUAUGCACGUCUUGACGGUACCUAAUCAGAAAGCCACGGCUAACUACGUG
rnacentral:rRNA from 1 species